CCUUUCCUGCUUCCUCACCCGCUGUAGCAAGCAGGUGUGGAGUCGAGUCGGAGGCAGGCGCUGGCUGCGUGGACCCCCGGGUGGGAUUCCACCCGCGACAAGGCACCCAGGCCCUUUGGGCGGGGCUCCCCUGGGGUCCGCGUCCCCGCCGCCUCCCCCGGGCCUCUGCUGGGCUGGCUGGAGGCAGGAGGCCCCGGGCCAGCAUCCUGAGCCCCACCUGCAGGCCCUGGGCGCUUUCCUCCUGGCAGCUGUGCCCCCACCCGACCGGACCGCUCCCUGCAACCAGAGAGCCCUCACACCAGCAACACCCCCCAGCCUGCUCCCUCCUCGUGUGCGCGAAACUCAUGGCACUGGCUUGACGGCUUUCUCUGAAACCCUCUGAUUCCGCCUGGCCCAUCCACACUGUCCCUUCCCGGCCAGGGCUCAUCUCCUAUGCCUGGACCAAACAGCGUAGUCUCCAGUCUCCCUGAUCUCCCCACACGUGGCCCCACCCAUCCUCUGAAGCAGCCCCAGGAGGCAGCAGUGACUUCACACUUCUAGUGCCCGGCCCUCCCGGCCCUCCUCUCUGGGCUUGCUUGCCAGGGUCCUCCCAACCUGACUGCUGCCUCCCACCUCCUCUCCGCCCCUGGAGCUCUCCAGCCGCAGCCGCGGGGCCUGCUUGGGAUUCUCCUCUGCUGGCAUCAUCCCUGCCUGCCUCAGCCUUCCCAGGCCCAAUCCUGCCCGAUCUCACCUCUUCCCGCCCAGCCACCUGGUCGGGUCCCGACCAGCAUCUGCCUUCAAACCUGGAGUCCUUCCCUGAGUGCUUGCGGUGCACUGUGAGGAAGGAAAUCAAUGUAAAGGAUUAUGACCCACAUUUUUUAAAAAUAAAAAGAUUAAGGAGAACAGCA